UAAGGCCUAUCAGGGGACAAAAACAAAAUACUCCUGGAGAAGACAAAAAACAACCCCCUCCAGAAUGUCAUCUUCAUCAUCUUCAUCAGGUGAUCCCAUGAGACUCCAUCUUCUUCAUGAGGAAUGAACAUAACCUAACCUAGACGAGCUCCAACAUAGCAGCCACCUACUCACUAGCUGCUCGAACAACAACAACUUCCUCACCUCGUCUCACGAUGCCAUUGUCAUCUCAGCCAGCGACCCCAUCUCCGGCGAGCUUCACCCUCACACACACGCACAUAGGUGGAAUAAAAGUAAGCAGAUAUAAACAUAGAUAAAACACAGAGUGAGAGAUUGUUGGAGGAACAGAUGCUCAGAUCUGAGUAACAGGGGUAGCGAGGAAGUCCGGAUAGAGCUCAUGAGAUUUUCGGCGAGCUUUUUGGCUUAGAUUCAUUUGUUAUCCUGUUUAUUCCGCCGAUUCAACAUUUUCGAAUUUUAAGUAAGUUAAAUUUCAGGUUCACUUGGGUUAUUUCCCUUUCUCUGGCUAUCUUAGCUUUAAUCUGAAUCUUGGCUUUAAUGUUUCAUCUCUUUGCUCAUGAUACCUUAGCAGUAUUUGGUGGUGUUUUUGUUGUUCUUUUGUUAUGGUUGAUCUGUUUUGCUCAAUUUUUAUUAAGAUGGAAUGUUGGUUGAUUUGGUUGUUUUACUAGAAUUCUAGUUGAUUUGUGUUUUAAUAUGGAAUUCUGGCAAGAUUUUUCUCUUAUCUCAAUAUGUUGAGUUGGUCAAGAAGUUUUGAAUGAAGCGUAAUUCUUCUUUGUUUGAGUUAUUUGAUAUUGAUCAUUUUAUUGUCAAUCUUUUCCUAGGUUGGAGUAUUGAAUAUUCUUUGGUGUCUGACUUCUUAAAUAAAAAAAAUGCUAGGCGACCGUGGUUUAUGAUGAUGCAUAUGUCAAGAUCUGUUUAUUUUGAAUUCGCUAAGAGCAUGCUUAGGCCGUCAGAACAUAAGUAGAUGAACCUCUUGGCACGUUUAUAAUAACAAUUAUCAUAGCUACGGGUACGGUUCUCGUAACGUAGUUGUGAUAUUUAAUCCCUUAUUAGUUAAAUUAUGAAUAUCUGUAGUUCACUUAGUUGAAUGCUUUUUCUUUAGAAUUGGAGGCAUGCCAUUUAGUUGAAUUUCAUAGCCAUUGCAAAUAAUUCAGAUGCGUAGUUGCUUUAGACGUGUAACUUAACUACUUUCCUAAACUGGGGUGCACAUUUAUGUGACCCAAAUUCAAAUCUCAACAACGUUAGAUAAAAUGUAUUGCGGACGGCAGGUGCAUUUAUGUUACGUGGUUCAGAACGUAUUUUAAUUGACGUUCCAGUAUUUCGUUAAUUAAAUAAAAGCGGUUAUAAAUUUUCAAAAUUCACAUAGGUUGAAACAUGUAGUAAAAUUAGAUAAUAGGCCAAUUGUAACGGGUGAGUGACUGUGCUAGGACCACGGAACCCGGAAAUGCCUAACAUCUUCUCCCGGGUUAAUAGAAUUCCUUACUCGGAUUUCUAUGUUCGUGGACUGUAAAAUAGAGUCAAUCUUUUUCUCGAUUCAGGGUUCGAACCGGUGACUUAAGACACCAUAAAUUAUCCCAAGUGGCGACUCUGAAUCAUAAAAUAAAUAAAUCUCGUUUUGAUUGUCACUUUAAGUUGGAAAAAACUCCCUUAUAUACCCCUUCCGGGGGUGUAGGAAAAAAGGAGGUAUGACAGCUCUUGCGACUCUGCUGGGAAAAAGAACCUAGAAUCUCUACUUCAGGGUUCAAGAAUUCGAGCUUAGAAUAAUUAUUGUAUUUGGCUUUAUUUAUUAGCUGGUUUUGUUACAUGUUUUAGCCUAAUUUGCUAAGUUUUGCAGUUUUCCGCUUUGAUAUUAUCUAUAUUGUAUAUAAACUGCUACGAAACCCUUCUCUUCUCAUCUUCGGGGAUGUGCACGCUGGCCGUGACUCCCUAUUAUGUUACUGUCAUAACUUGAGAUAAGAAAGAUGCUCGGACAAGUUACUAAGCCGGUUGCCUUUUGGUUCCCGGUACGUAUUCCCUCCUCAACUCGAGUUGUCCGCUCGGGUAAGAGGUCUAGAACAAUAUACCCAGGUUUAGACCCUAGAAUAAUUCAGAUUCAUGCCGGAUCCCUAGUAGGAAUGUUUGUUUACAUCAUGUGCAUUUGUCUUUGAGGACUCAACACAGGGGUUGGGUCCGUCUAGGACAGGUGUACCCAAAAUAAUAUACCAUCUUGAUGCAUCCUAUGUGCUACAUAUUGCAUUUAUUCAAGGGUAAAAGGGUAUUUUGGUGGACCAAUGAUAGUUGAAGAUAAAGCGAGUGGGGCCCAAUUAUGUUUUCUGUCACAUUUUUGUUAAGGGAAAAAAAGAGCUUAAAAAUUCAAAUAAAAAGAUUUUGCGCUUUUUUCACCAUUUUUCGGAAGUCAGGAAAUAAAAAAAAAAGGAAAAAAAUCCAGAAAGAGUUUACAUAUUUCAUCAUUUUUCAAAAAAAAAAAAAAAACUAAAACUAUAUUUUCUCUAAGUUACUUCUCAAUUUUAUUUCUUGCCCGUAUCCAAUAUGUCUGAACUACGCAAACCUGAUUCUCGUCUUCGGGGGCGUGAUACGUAGGCAACCCACAUAGGAUCCAGUCUUCCUAUUAAAUCUUAGGUUCUUGGCUUUGCGGGGUCCUAGCCAAAAUUUACACUUCUGACCAGCUUUUAGUCAAAUAAGCCAUUUUACAAAAAUAACAUCAAUCAUGUCUUGCAUGUGUCUAGUAGGGAAUGUUAUUGUCUCACAUAAUGUCGGUUUAAGUUUUCUCAUACAGGUAUGGAUUUACUUACCGGAGUUUGAGCAUGACAGACACGCAGGAUCACUAUAUUUAGGAGCUGAUCAAGGAACCAUUUUAUGUUUUUGAGUCAAUUGUUC
rnacentral:lncRNA from 1 species